AGCUUCCUCCCUGGAUGCUGUGACUCCAAACUGGGUAGGGUAGAAUGGCCUGAGGGGAACCUCAGGAGGCCUCCUCCACUGUCGUCAGUAAUUCUGUGUCCUCCCCUUGGAGCACUCCCUCAUCUGGCUCCAUGGCCACAGUCAGAUGCACUGAGGGCCAGUGGGCUCUGGCUCAUGUUUCACAUCCCCUGAGGAAAAGUCAUCCUUUGCUCUUCCUUCAUGUCAGUGGUGGCUUUAGCCAGAGACAGCCCUGGAGACCUGACAGCACUAAAUGCCUUGAUUUCCCCAGCCGUUUGAUGAGUCAGUCAUUGUCUGCCACUGGAAGCACCAUGUGCAUGUGUGUAAUAUCUAUGUCUUCCCAGUCUUGGAUCCCAGCUUCUCACUGAAGUGCUGUUGGGUUUGAACACUCUGCUGUCCUCUGUGGGGAAGGACUGGCUACCAAUGACUCACAGGAACGCUUUGCCAGAUAGCGUUAUUACCACAACAACAGCGAAGACAGUGGUGGAGUGCUAGUUGUAGUUGUGCAGUAAUAGGAACAGCCCCAGCCAAAGGAGCAGCCCUAGGGGAAGAGCCGAAGCAAGAGUAGCAACCACACAGCGCACCUCAGGGAGGCCCAGUAUUGGGCUUCACACCACCCUCAUCACAGAGUACAUUUAAUUCUCACCAUGACCCUGAAGCAGCCAACGUUUUUCUUUUAAGUGUCCACAUUUUACAGAUGAGGACAUUGAAGCAUAAUGAGGGAACAAUAAGAAAGCCAGGACUACACAGGUGGGACUUUGCAACACUUGGGAUUCGCCUAGACUUCCAGGUUCAUGGUCUCCUGGACUUACCAUCCCACCCUACCCCCGCCCCGGGAGUGCAGUGCUUUGCACCUUUUGGAAGGCAGUGGGAAUGCUGCUUCAGCAGUCGGUGUGUAACUGAAGGGAAUUCUGAGGCCGCUUGGAUAUUCAAAUGAUGUCUCAGCCAUAUACAAAUCCGCUCCUCUUCCAUCUGCAUCCCCCCAGAAAUUCAAUAAAACCACGGAAGAAUGAGCCCGUCUACUGCA
rnacentral:lncRNA from 1 species